GAUGAACGCUGGCGGCGUGCUUAACACAUGCAAGUCGAACGAAGCAGAUUGAGAUCUUCGGAAGGAUAUCUGACUGAGUGGCGGACGGGUGAGUAACGCGUGGGUAACCUGCCUCAUACAGGGGGAUAACGGUUAGAAAUGACUGCUAAUACCGCAUAAGCGCACAGUACCGCAUGGUACGGUGUGAAAAACUCCGGUGGUAUGAGAUGGACCCGCGUCUGAUUAGCUAGUUGGUGGGGUAACGGCCUACCAAGGCGACGAUCAGUAGCCGACCUGAGAGGGUGACCGGCCACAUUGGGACUGAGACACGGCCCAAACUCCUACGGGAGGCAGCAGUGGGGAAUAUUGCACAAUGGGCGAAAGCC
rnacentral:rRNA from 1 species